AUUGAACGCUGGCGGCAUGCCUUACACAUGCAAGUCGAACGGCAGCGGGGACUUCGGUCCGCCGGCGAGUGGCGAACGGGUGAGUAAUGUAUCGGAACGUACCAUUGAGUGGGGGAUAACGUAGCGAAAGUUACGCUAAUACCGCAUAUUCUCUCCGGAGGAAAGCAGGGGACCGCAAGGCCUUGCGCUCUUUGAGCGGCCGAUAUCAGAUUAGCUAGUUGGUGAGGUAAAGGCUCACCAAGGCGACGAUCUGUAGCGGGUCUGAGAGGAUGAUCCGCCACACUGGAACUGAGACACGGUCCAGACUCCUACGGGAGGCAGCAGUGGGGAAUUUUGGACAAUGGGGGCAACCCUGAUCCAGCCAUGCCGCGUGAGUGAAGAAGGCCUUCGGGUUGUAAAGCUCUUUCGGCCGGGAAGAAAUCGCACGGGCUAAUACCCUGUGUGGAUGACGGUACCGGAAUAAGAAGCACCGGCUAACUACGUGCCAGCCGCCGCCGUAACAC
rnacentral:rRNA from 1 species